rnacentral:lncRNA from 9 species
UUUUUUUUUUCUGUGUCAACUCUCUUCUAUCAGGCUUUCCAGGGCCACUUAAGUGCACUCAUAUAGCACACCCAUGUGGGGCACUAUUCUUAUUAUAGCCCACGUGAAGGGACCCCAAGGGUCAGGGACUUCUCAUUAAGAUACACUUUUCCUCACUCAUAGUAACUGACAUUUAUUGAGCCCUUACUAUGCAUCACACAUGGUACUAAAUGCUUUACAACAAUUAUCUGAUUUAAUCCCCACAACAACUCAAUGGCAUAUAGUAUUACUUUUUCCAUUUUAUGGUGUAAGAUAUGGGGCUACAAAGAUAUUAAUCUUGUCCCAAGAUUAUCAUACAUCUAGGAAACAGCCAAACCAAAUCCAGGACUCUGUGCCUCUAAAACUCAUGUUUUUAGCCAUCUUCAGCCAUUCUUCAAAGCCAUGUUUCUGCACAUGGCAGGUCCAUCUCUGUCACUCUAGUUUCUUGACCAUAUAGGUUCAUUUCCCACCAUUAUGUGAAAGGUUACUGAUGACUAAUUUCCCCGUUUAUUAAUUUCCUUAUUAAAAUUUUAGCUAAAGCCUCAACACUGAAGGUAUAGCGGGAACUAAAAAUCUUUGAACUUCAGAGAGAAUGUGGAAGAGCAGUCAGACACAUCCUCCCUCUAACCCUUAAUCCCAGGUUUCCAAAGUGGUUUUUUGACCCUGACUCCCCCCUCCCCACCUCCCCAGCCUCUCUAAAUAGAAGAUCAGAAUGUAUUUUGCGGGGGAAGGAGGGGAGGGUAGAGAGUUCAUUGAUAUAAACAGGCAGCAUGAACUAGGAAAGCUGCUGCAGAAGUGUAGGCAAGUGUACAGGGCGAGUUCUUCAGUCCCACCUUAACCCAAGUUCAAGAGGCUCCAAGAGAAACUGAGGAUUCCUGCUCCCAAGAGAGAUUGGCACCUCCCUCCCCAGCUGGAAGUCACUAACUGCAGAAUGGGAGGCCCAUGACAGCUCAGAGACCAAGGUGCUGUGUUCUUGAGAAAGCUCGGUGUGAGACCCAGAGAGCUUGAGCACACGAGCGCAUAGGGCUGGUGGGCACUUCUGAUCCAGAGAUUCCCUAAGGCAAAGUCUAAUUAUAAAAGCCAGAGAACAGGAGUGAGCAGAAAGGCAGCAGCAGAACAGCCUGCACCCAAGCUGAGAUCCCCCCCCGCUCCACCUUCCAGAAUGUACUGUAUGUACUGCAGCAGGAACAGGCAGCUUGCAAUCGCACUGUCUUGAAGUUCUCUCUCCUGGAUUCCUACUUUGGGAGGACCUAGAAGUGCGAAGCUGUGGGGUUGAUAGCCAAAUGGGGGAUGGGAGGAGGUGCUGAGAGGUGUUUCAGGAGGUCAGAAAGUGCAUUGCUAGAAGAGGGGACAGGCCCUGUGAAGAACCCACCAAUGUGCCCUAUGCGGGAAGGAGCAUUAAAGAGCUGCUGUGCAGAGGGUGCUAAGAACCAGAUUACGGCAGCGCCCACCACAUAAAAGAUGUUUUGCUCUUUUCUUCUUGUCUUACUCUGAGGUCCCCAGCACACGCGGGAUGGAAGGGAGACAGAGACAGAAAUGUAAAGAGCGAGGGUGAGUGAAAACAGGGACCAGGCUCCCCUUUCCCAUGUGUCUAAAGGGAGGGUGGCAGCUUUGAAUUAGGGGUGAGGUCGAAACUUUAAAACUGAACUCUGUUGCACCUCCUACUACAUUCAAGUGAAUCAUCAUUGCUAAAAUAAGGAAGUAAGGCCACCAUUUGAAUAACUGAAAGGGAAUAGAAACCUGUGGUAUCUGCCUGAGGUAUCACCCAGAGGCACAGAGAUCCAAGCAGCCAAAGGAGGAUAUUUAAAGACGCUGGUUAGAGAAAAAAAAAAAUAAGAAAGCUAUUUUCUUUCCUGUACCUCAUGAAUAAACAGAUUUCAAGUAUUUAUUUCUCAGUCUCUUUCCCCAAGAGAAUCUUGACCGGCUUAGGCCCACCUUUGUUCUGGGCCACACUGUAAGUCUCUCGCCAGCAGGUGGGUUGGCUGUUUGUGCCAGGGGCAAACAAAGAAGAUCCACUCUUCCUAAAUAUUGUGUGUGUGUGUGUGUGCGCGCGCGCACGUAUGCACAUACACCAUUUAAAGUAUCCAAGUUAAUUUACUGGAAUUCAAGAGAAUCUCGAGGAACAAGCGAUAUAUUUUGUAUAGAUAAAUGCAUACAUACAUCGUAACAAAGUCAGAGGUCUCCCCUUACUAAACUAGAUUAAAGCAGUGAUCCAUCUCUUCCAAACCUUGUGUUCAGAGUAACUGCUUAAUAAAUGUUUCUUCGUUUCAAUAACCCCAUCCUUGUGCAUGAGUACACCCUGACCUCUUGCCUCAGCCCAAAUCUGAUAUUCCUUGAUCUCGGCUUUAUUUGUUCUUAAGCAAGGAGGCAGUGUGUGUUUGUUCCCAGAGUUUUUGGCCCCUUUGCAGUAUCUGGGUGAUCCCACAACCCUCCUGUCAUGCAGCUUUUGAGGAAACACAAAGCAGUAGACAGAGCAGGGGCUCUGCUGUUAGAAGUUACUGAAUCCUACCUGUGCCAUUUAAUGCCUGUGUGACUCAGGACAGUCUCCUUAAAGUCUCUGAUCCUUCGUUGAUUAACUUGUAGAUGGAGCUCUCGCAGUCACCUCAGAGUUCUUUGGGAGACUUAAACAAGUUUCUAUGGGAUGCCUGGAGCACAGGAUGCCUGGAGCACAGGGAUGGCAUAGUUCUUUUUAGUAACCUGCCAGAGCAGCCACCUCAUGCUCAUGACUCUCUUCCUGGCAGGGGCUUCAUCUGAGCCCCCAGACUUGUACUCAGAUCCUCUCUUUCUUUAAACGUCUCUAUUAUCUUUCUCAAAUUGGCCUUCUCCCUGCACUACCAAUCACAGCCCCCUCCUCUUGAUAUUUUCUAAAUUCAGGUGUGUAUUUCUGAAACUUUAACUUUAUGCACAACUCACCUCCCAAACCUGACUCUCCAGACUAUUAUCCUUCUUUCCUGCAUAACCAUAAAAAAAAUUAAGACUGUCUCAAUAACCCUCAUUAAUUCAUGAAUCCGAUCAUUCAUUCAACUCCCCUUCUGGGAGUACUCUGUAUUGAUACCAGCAUUUUCAUUCGGGGAAUGAAAAAGGAAAGAACAGAAGACACAAAAAUGAAAAGACAAAUUACUAUCUUCUUCGAGCCUAGAGUCUAGCAGGAGCACUGCAUUGCUGGAGCACUGUUGUUGUUAUGUGAUAGUUUAUCUUGAAAUUAACUCUUAAAAUUGGUGUUUUUCCCACUUUUUACAUUAGCAUAACAAAAAUGUCACAAUCUUGUUUAAUUCUAUUCUAGCAGCUCUUCUGGGAUAGGGUAGGUUUUUGCUCCGUAAGGUUACAAGGUCGAACAACUCGAUUAAAUUUUCUGAAAUUCAGUUUCCUGAUCUCUACAAAUGGGAAUAAUCAUCAAUAUCUCACGGGAGUUUUCUGAAAAUCAAAAGGGGAAGAAAAAAAAACACCAAGCGUCAUUACAGGAAUAUUGUAGGCACUCGAUAAAGUUCAUGUCUCUCCCAGCUUUCCUUAAUUAGAGAAAGGGAAAAAAAGAAAACAGCCCCCUUUUUCUUUUUUUGCUUUUUAGGCUAGGGGUCAAAUUGGAGCUGUAGCUGCUGGCCUACACCACAGCCACAGCAAUGCUGGAUCCGAGCCGCAUCCACAACCUACACCACAGUUCAUG